AGUGAACGCUGGCGGUAGGCCUAACACAUGCAAGUCGAACGGCAGCACAGUAAGAGCUUGCUCUUACAGGUGGCGAGUGGCGGACGGGUGAGGAAUACAUCGGAAUCUACUUUUUCGUGGGGGAUAACGUAGGGAAACUUGCGCUAAUACCGCAUACGACCUACGGGUGAAAGCAGGGGAUCUUCGGACCUUGCGCGAUUGAAUGAGCCGAUGUCGGAUUAGCUAGUUGGCGGGGUAAAGGCCCACCAAGGCGACGAUCCGUAGCUGGUCUGAGAGGAUGAUCAGCCACACUGGAACUGAGACACGGUCCAGACUCCUACGGGAGGCAGCAGUGGGGAAUAUUGGACAAUGGGCGCAAGCCUGAUCCAGCCAUACCGCGUGGGUGAAGAAGGCCUUCGGGUUGUAAAGCCCUUUUGUUGGGAAAGAAAAGCAGCAGGUUAAUACCCCGCUGUUCUGACGGUACCCAAAGAAUAAGCACCGGCUAACUUCGUG
rnacentral:rRNA from 1 species